rnacentral:rRNA from 1 species
AAACGUACCCACGUUCGGAUUGCAGUCUGCAACUCGAGUGCAUGAAGCUGGAAUCGCUAGUAAUCGCGGAUCAGAAUGCCGCGGUGAAUACGUUCCCGGGUCUUGUACACACCGCCCGUCACACCAUGGGAGUCGGGAAUGCCCGAAGCCGGUGGCCCGAUCGAAAAGAAGGGAGCCGUCGAAGGCAGGCCGGAUGACUGGGGUGAAGUCGUAACAAGGUAGC